rnacentral:rRNA from 1 species
GAUGAACGCUGGCGGCGUGCUUAACACAUGCAAGUCGAACGGAAAGGCCACAGCUUGCUGUGGUACUCGAGUGGCGAACGGGUGAGUAACACGUGGGUGAUCUGCCCUGUACUUCGGGAUAAGCUUGGGAAACUGGGUCUAAUACCGGAUAGGAAUCACACGUGGGUGUGUGGUUGGAAAGCUUUUGCGGUAUGGGAUGAGCUCGCGGCCUAUCAGCUUGUUGGUGGGGUAAUGGCCUACCAAGGCGUCGACGGGUAGCCGGCCUGAGAGGGUGUACGGCCACAUUGGGACUGAGAUACGGCCCAGACUCCUACGGGAGGCAGCAGUGGGGAAUAUUGCACAAUGGGCGCAAGCCUGAUGCAGCGACGCCGCGUGGGGGAUGACGGCCUUCGGGUUGUAAACUCCUUUCGUCAGGGACGAAGCGAAAGUGACGGUACCUGGAUAAGAAGCACCGGCUAACUACGUG